GGUGUGUGCUUUAAAAAUUAAGCACCUGCUGGGCGGUGUGUGCCUUACAGGCCAGAGGAUCGCUUGAGCCCAGGAGUAUCGGGCUGUAUUACACUAUUCUGACAGGGUGGCCGCAAUAAGUUCGGCAUUAAUGUGGUGACCUCCUGAGAGCUGGGGACCAGCAGGUUGCCUAAGGAGGGGUGAAUUAGCUCAGGUCAGAAAUGGAGCAGGUCAGAACUCCCAUGCUGAUCAGUAGUGGGAACACGCCCAUGAAUAGCCACCACACUCCAGCCUGGGCAACACAGCGAGACCCUGUCUCUU
ensembl:misc_RNA Metazoa_SRP Metazoan signal recognition particle RNA